AUUGAACGCUGGCGGCAUGCCUUACCUUGCAAGUCGAACGGCAGCACGGAGCUUGCUCUGGUGGCGAGUGGCGAACGGGUGAGUAAUAUAUCGGAACGUACCCUAGAGUGGGGGAUAACGUAGCGAAAGUUACGCUAAUACCGCAUACGAUCUAAGGAUGAAAGUGGGGGAUCGCAAGACCUCAUGCUCGUGGAGCGGCCGAUAUCUGAUUAGCUAGUUGGUAGGGUAAAAGCCUACCAAGGCAUCGAUCAGUAGCUGGUCUGAGAGGACGACCAGCCACACUGGAACUGAGACACGGUCCAGACUCCUACGGGAGGCAGCAGUGGGGAAUUUUGGACAAUGGGCGAAAGCCUGAUCCAGCAAUGCCGCGUGAGUGAAGAAGGCCUUCGGGUUGUAAAGCUCUUUUGUCAGGGAAGAAACGGUGAGAGCUAAUAUCUCUUGCUAAUGACGGUACCUGAAGAAUAAGCACCGGCUAACUACGUGCCAGCAGCCGCGGUAAUACGUAGGGUGCAAGCGUUAAUCGGAAUUACUGGGCGUAAAGCGUGCGCAGGCGGUUUUGUAAGUCUGAUGUGAAAUCCCCGGGCUCAACCUGGGAAUUGCAUUGGAGACUGCAAGGCUAGAAUCUGGCAGAGGGGGGUAGAAUUCCACGUGUAGCAGUGAAAUGCGUAGAUAUGUGGAGGAACACCGAUGGCGAAGGCAGCCCCCUGGGUCAAGAUUGACGCUCAUGCACGAAAGCGUGGGGAGCAAACAGGAUUAGAUACCCUGGUAGUCCACGCCCUAAACGAUGUCUACUAGUUGUCGGGUCUUAAUUGACUUGGUAACGCAGCUAACGCGUGAAGUAGACCGCCUGGGGAGUACGGUCGCAAGAUUAAAACUCAAAGGAAUUGACGGGGACCCGCACAAGCGGUGGAUGAUGUGGAUUAAUUCGAUGCAACGCGAAAAACCUUACCUACCCUUGACAUGGCUGGAAUCCCCGAGAGAUUGGGGAGUGCUCGAAAGAGAACCAGUACACAGGUGCUGCAUGGCUGUCGUCAGCUCGUGUCGUGAGAUGUUGGGUUAAGUCCCGCAACGAGCGCAACCCUUGUCAUUAGUUGCUACGAAAGGGCACUCUAAUGAGACUGCCGGUGACAAACCGGAGGAAGGUGGGGAUGACGUCAAGUCCUCAUGGCCCUUAUGGGUAGGGCUUCACACGUCAUACAAUGGUACAUACAGAGCGCCGCCAACCCGCGAGGGGGAGCUAAUCGCAGAAAGUGUAUCGUAGUCCGGAUUGUAGUCUGCAACUCGACUGCAUGAAGUUGGAAUCGCUAGUAAUCGCGGAUCAGCAUGUCGCGGUGAAUACGUUCAAGGGUCU
rnacentral:rRNA from 1 species